rnacentral:lncRNA from 1 species
AAAGAAACUUCGAUCGUUUCAUUGUAUUGCUGACAUUCGGUUUUGUGUUUGUCAGCAGUAUUCGUAACCGUGUAUCGCUGCCUGCCGCCGUGCCAGCUGCGGGUGCUCGUUCCACGUACGAAGUCUGUCAGUUUUUGCAUUCCGGGUGUCAAUAUUACUUUCGUCGUUCGUUUCCCAUGAACAUUUCCGUUUCUAUAACGUUCGGCUGACCGAUAGCCACCUGACACGCUGUAACCGUCAGACGUUACACGGAACCGAUCGAAACUCGUGUACCUAGGUAUUUCCGUGUACUUUUGGCCACGGUUCUGUAAGUAACAUGAAGAUGAGUGACAGCAUGCACAAUUUAAACGACUACAUCGAACAUUACAAAAGACACAUCGGCAAAGCCACCGAAACCAACGACAAUGAGAAGGUACUGUAUACCUGUCGAAUUCCGAUCGAAGAAAUAGUUACGUUUACUUAUUUAGAAAUCGUCCAAUAUGGAGUAUGCGGAUAUCGUUUCGAUUCCUUGCACUAGUCCCACUUAGGUACUUGUUUCUCGUUUCGAAAAUGAAAAGUCUAUUCGUUGUCCUAAAUCAACGGGAUUCGUUUUCCAAUACAUAUCUUACUCUAUACAACUUGAUUGUACGAUUAUUUCAUUUUCGAUAUGCACAGUACAUAUUUUUUUUGUAUACAUCGCAUCGUUUUUACCACAAUAAACAUCUGUUGGAUGCCUACCUUUAAAUAUGUAUAGCUGUAUUAGGUAACUGUGUUUUUAUAAGUGUAUGCUUAAUUUUUUUUUUUUUUUCUGUUGAUACAAAAACUAUAAUGUGAAGUAUCUUCAUAAAAAAAAUCACAAUUUCAAUAGAAAUCAAAUGGCCUACUUUUAUAAUAAAGAAUUAUUAUUUAAGGAAUAUUGUUUAGGCGUUCUAGGUAGUAAGUAGUAACUAAUAAAAUAAGGUCAUACCAAUAUAAUACCUACAUGUAGUAGUUACCCACUAAUGCAUUGUCAGUAAACUUAAAAAAAAAUGGGUUUUGAUUAAACUAAAUAUAAUAGCAGCAUAAUUAUAUUAUUAUUAUUAAUUGAACAAAUUACCUAUAUGUAAGUAGGUAGGUAUGUUAGUUUAAAUUUAUGAACUAUACAUAUAAAUUAAGUACCUACUGAUACCUAUAUAAUGUUUAGUGUGAUGGUCUUCUAUAGAACUGUCUAUCGAUUACAAUAAAUUUGCAGAAACUGAUAGUGUCACCUUAAUUAAAAAAGUAACUUAAUGAUUUAAAAAUUCAUUAUUUUUAAGUUUAAAUUUAAUCAAGAAUUAUAUGUUAAGUGGUUUUUUAAAUUAUUUUUGAUAUUACUUGACCACUUUUUUUCGUACAUAUUGAUGUAGGCAUGCGCUAAGAUUGACAAUGUUUUUUUUAUACUAGGUAGGUAAGUCAUUUUUUACACUUAUUGCAUUAUGAUGACGGUAUGUGCAAAAAAUCAAUUUUAGUGUUGUACAUAGUAUAUUAAUAGGUCUAUAUUUUAUUACGUCAAAAUUUAGUAUUCAGAUUUUCACUUUAAAGUACACACUAGCUCGAAAGUAAAUAUGUUCACUAAUUCGGAACUGUGUCAUGGAGUAAAUUUUACUUAAUGCUCAUAAGUUAUAGCAGAUUAAAGUCAGAACUUAAUAUUUUAACAACUUUCUAUUAGUAAAAUGAGUUUGCAAGUACAGUUUAAUCUCUCAAAUCCAGACUUGAAGGGACUACACCCUGUCUGGAUUAAACAUAAUCGGGUUUAAAGCAUAAGUAAAAAAAUAUUAAAUAUGUAAAUCUUUGAAAUUGAAAUUUUAAUGAAAAAUGACUUAUUCAGUCUCAAUACUACAAUAUAGGAUUACUUUUUUAAGAUGGGAAUUAAUGUAGUAUAAAAAAAAACAUAUUGAUUGAAAUUCAUAGUUUAUUUAAUGUAUUAGUGAUUAUUGUUAUUACUACUUAAAAUUACGGUACUUUUCCGUUAUCCCGACUACCUCUGGACGCCGCGAGUACCGCUCAGUUACUGGGGUCCAUACUCAGCAUAUUGAACGACUUUGGGACUCCGCUAAAUGGAGAAACAAAAAGCAUGGGGGAACCGUAUGGAGUUUAUCUGAAAACGAAACAUCUAAGGAGAUCCAUAAUAUAUUAUUGAAAAAUAUUUCUUAAAAAUCGAAAUAGAAUUUUAGACGUUUUAUUUGAAUUGUGAUAAUUUUUGUAAUAACUGAUAAUAAACGUUGUACUCUAUUAAAUUAUAUUAAACUAUAAAGUUGGCUUAUAGUCGUGGCAUCCGGAAUAGAAGUCGAGAUAACGGAAUUGAGAUUCUCGGUGUCGGAAUCUGUAUAACAGAGAAGUACCAAAAUUACAUAAUUACUGUAAUACUGUUGCAUAUUAUGUAAUUUAAGAAAAAAAACAGUUUGAUGUCCGUUCGGAUUAACCAAAUAUCAAAACUAGCGGGACUAUUGUAUUGCCGACAAUACAUAAUGCACAACGUAUGAUUAUUAAUUAUUGUGUAACAAACCUUUUUCAAGUAAAGAUAUAUUUUAACCCCAUAAUAAUAAUAAUUGUACUUAAACACAUUUAAAAGGUGCAAAUCACACAUAUAUCAUUAAACUCAAAUAAUAAAAGUAAAGGUGUAGGAGUAAUGGUACUAGCUGAUUAUUAAAUUUUAAAUACAAAAUAUCUCUUUACUGAUACACAUAAGUACCUAAGUCAUAACAGACAUCCGGUGUGUGUACAAGUGGGGUUUUUAGGGAUUCAACCACUCUCAGAAAUAUCAUGAAAAUGAUGAUGAAAGUAAAUUUUUAAUAUAGUCUCAAAAGUGGUUUCUAUCAAUGUGGAAGAUAAAUACAAUUUCGGUUUUAUUUUAAUUUUAUUACUAGUUAGUAGGUAUAUUUUAAUAUUGUUGUUAUUUUUAAUUGCUUGUGGUUUUCCUACUUUUAGAAAAUUAUAACUAGUACGGCUAUAUUGCAUAGUCCACAUUAUCAUGACAUUAAUAUGAAUUACGUUAUCAUUUAAGCUGUGUUCACAAAAAAAAUAUUAAAUGGUAUAAUUUAAUAAUAUUGCCUUUUUAAAUGAAAAGUAAAUAAUCUUGCGACUGAAAGUAUGUAAAGUUCUUUGUUAUAAGAGUAUGAAAGUGUCCAACUUUACCCCCCUCCCCACCCCUCCGAAAUAUUUGUUUGGAAAUGCACCUGACCGAAAAUGUGCUCUCUAUUAGAUUAUAAUAUUAUUAUGUAUGCCUAUAUUAUAAUAAAAAUUAUCAACAUUAAAAGAAAUUUAGUUUUAUNNNNNNNNNNNNNNNNNNNNNNNNNNNNNNNNNNNNNNNNNNNNNNNNNNNNNNNNNNNNNNNNNNNNNNNNNNNNNNNNNNNNNNNNNNNNNNNNNNNUUUGUUAUAAGAGUAUGAAAGUGUCUAACUUUACCCCCCUCCCCACCCCUCCGAAAUAUUUGUUUGGAAAUGCACCUGACCGAAAAUGUGCUCUCUAUUAGAUUAUAAUAUUAUUAUGUAUGCCUAUAUUAUAAUAAAAAUUAUCAACAUUAAAAGAAAUUUAGUUUUAUAUAUCUAAGUAGUUGAAUAGUUUAAUUUAUUGUACCUAAUGCUCGAUGUAGGUAGGUAAUUAUAAAAUGUUUACAAUUUCACUAAAUAAUUAUUACAACUAUUAACAAUUACAUAAGAUAUAUUUUAUAAUUAUUUAAAUACUAUAUAAUUUUCUAUAAAUUUAAUUAGUUUAAAAAAAAUAACUUUGAUUAGUAAAACGGAACUUCUAUGAUUGUCAAUUCACCAAUAAAAAUAAAUAUUGUAUUGGUAUUUGGUAUAGUGUUAUAAUAGCAUUUAAUAGACAUUAUUCUUUAUAUUUUAUGAAUUUUAUACCUAAUUGAAUAAAUAUAGGUUAUAUACAUUCCCAGUGAUCAUAAAACCCCCAAGCGACUAAUUUGAUAGAAAAGAGAGUACAACAUUUUUAUUUUUGGUAGAAACAAGUUUCAAUCAAUUGUUUAAUAUAUUUUAUACAGCAAUUUAAACAAAAUGUUUGGUAGGUACUAACAUACAUUUAAAGUCAUUUGCUAAUUUUAUCUGAAAAAAAAAAAUUUUAUUUUCAAUUCAACAAUUAUUUAAUUCAAUUAUUAUAAUAAUAUUAAUUAUACACUGCAAGAAAACAAUACAAUGGGAUAACAUGAUAGUAUGAAAUUUUGGAUUAUUCUAUUGGUGUAUUAUAGUGAAAGUUCUCAUACACUUUGUAGUUUAAAUGAAUAAAGACUUGAUUAGGUCAGUAGAUCAAGGUGACUGUUUUUAGAAUUUUUAAAUACAUACUUAUAAUUUGUUACGCUUUACUUUUAAGGUUUAUAUAAAUUGAAUUUAUUUAACAAAAAUGUGUAUAUUAUACCUACUAAUUAAUAUUUAUGUUUAAUAAUUUUGUUAUACUCCCAAGUUAAUAUUAAUAAUCUUAAACACAACACAUUUUAUUAGUACCUAGUACCUACCAAUUUUACUUUAUACAAAAAAAAAAAUAAAAAAAAUUGAAAAGCAUUAACCAAAUCAUUAAAAAGUACUCAUAUUCUUACUACAAAUUUCCAUUAUACAUUUUAAACCAUCUUUUGAAAUACAUUUUUUUUAAACAUCAGCAAUUAUUAUUAUUUUUCUAUUUUUCAGAUUAUGAAAUGUAUUUUAAAGCUUUCACGACUUCCUAUUACUGUUCAAAAUUUACAAAAGACAGGAAUUGGGCGUGUAGUCAACAGCUUAAGGAAAUAUGAUGGGCAAAUAGGAGAGUCAGCAAAAUUAUUGGUUGUUCAAUGGAAAAAUGUUGUUAAAAUUGAAGAAUCUGAAAAUUUUUAUCAAAAAGAAAACUCUGAUGAAGAACAUGACGAUGCAUCUUCGGCCAAUGAUAAUGACGAACUACAAAUCAACCAAAAUAUAACAUCUAGUGUUGCAUCUACUAGUUAUUACAACAACAAUAGCAAUGAAACAGGAUUGAAUGAUGAAAAUAAUGGCCAUUCAAGUGACCAUGGUGCAUGUAAAAUUUAUAAUCAUUAUCAAAAUAAUUAUGAUAAAAUAUCAAAGUAUAAAAAAAGUAAAAAGGAUAAAGAUAGCAAAAAACGAAAAGAAUCUAGUUGCAAUUCAACAGAUGAACAAGGAGAUGAAAAAGUCUCUAAGAAAUUGAAGAAAGAUAAUAAGCAUGAAAAUAUCAAAAUUAAAAAAGAAGCUGAUAAAGAAUCUGAAAAAAGUAAAGUUGCGACAACUUCUCAUCAAGAAAAUGGUAAAAAUAAUGAAGUUAACAUUAAAAAGGAAAAAAAAAGUUCACAUUCAGAUAAAAAAAAAGAUAAACAUAAGUCUACUCAUAAAUCUGAAUCAAGGUCAGAAUCAAAGUCUGAAUCAAGGUCAGAAUCAAAAUCUGAAUCAAGGUCAGAAUCAAAGUCUGAAUCAAGAUCUGAAUCAAAAUCUCAUAGGGAUAAACAUGAAUCGAAAUCUGGACAUAGGGAAAAAAAUGAUUCCAAAAAAAAGAGCAAAGAAAAAAGCAAAGAACAUUCUAAACAAGAAUCUAAACCUUCGACUAGUAUUUGUAAGUUUAGCUAUUUAUAUAAAAAUGUACAUUUAUUUCUUACUUAAUGUUAUUUUAGGUAAAACAUUUGAAGAGGCAUUACUAGGUAUAGAAAUAAAUAAGAAAAAAAAAGAUAAAUCAAAGUGUAGAGAUAUAUCAAGUCGAUCAAAUUCUUCAGAAAGGGAAUCGAGUCCUAUUCCAACAGUUAGUUAAUCUUUUAGACACAUCUCCUCAUAUUUUUUAAGAACCAUAUCUAUUUUAGAAUAAUAUAUUACAGAGUAUGCAGUUGGCACCAAUAAAUUUGGAUCCCGAAGAGUUAAUUGCAAAUUAUAAACCAUUACCUCAAUUGGAUAUAAAGAAAAAAAAAUCAUUAGAUGAAAUUGAUGCAUUAGCUACAAGUAUGAAAACAAAAAAUAUGAGGUAUAAUAUACAAAAUUUGUAGUUAUUUUUUUUUUCUAAUUUUCUAAGACAAUAUUUUACAGGACAAAAGUAUACUCUGGAAAUAAAAGCACAAUUUAUACAGAAGUUCCUAGUUUAGCUGAUUGUUGUAUUAAAACUCUUAAAGAAAAUAUUGAUGGUAAAUAUUUCUUCUGGCUUUAUACAUGGUUUUUAUACAUUCCAUUUUGUUUAGAUAUGGGAGAGACUGGUGGUGUUCCAUAUAUGAUACUUGAGCCAGUAUUAAGCCACACUACUCCUGACCAAUUAUAUCAGAUAGAAAAUCAUAAUGGCUAUUUGAUUGAAGAUACUGGACCUUUGUGGGAAUACCACAGCAAGAAAGAAUUCCGUAAUAAAGUUCCAGAAAAAAACGAAACUUGGAGAAAUUUUUAUAUAGUAAUUAAUAAUGCAUUUGCAUGUCUUUAACAAUAUUAGUCCAAAUCCUUAAUUUAAUAGAUACAGUAGACUCCUGAUAAUUCAAUUUAGGGAAUUGAACUGAAAAUUUAAUUUAUAGAAGUUUUCAAUUUAGUAAGAGUUAAAAUAUUUGGGAGGGAGGGAAAUGAAUAAUUCUAAUUAAAGAGAAUUGAACAAAAUAAAUACAUAUUUACUGUUUAAUUAACUUUACAUUAAUUAUUUAUUGUAGGUACAUAUUAUAAAAUAUCAAAAAAAAAUUUAUCUUCUUUGUGACCAAUUUUUGACCACAAUUGUUAUUGCUGUCGGUUAUUUUUCAAUAUUAGAAUUAUAAAUUCUUACUGAAUACUUGUAUGACUAAUAAUUAUAAAUUUGAAUUAUAGAGAUUCUGGCUAAAAUAUUCAAAUUGUAGUAGUUUUUGAAAUACCAAGUCUAUGUAUAUAGAUAAUAUUUUUAAAAUAAAUUUUUUUAAAUCUAAAUAAACAUUUAUCAGGUGUUACUUAAAUUAAUUAAUUUAAAAUAAAGAUUUACAAAAAUUGUAACAUAUAUUUUGUUUUUUCAAGUUAAACUUUUGUACAUCAAAGUAUGAUUCCUGUAGAUAAUUAUUGUUACUAAAGAGGUAUACUAUCUAUAUUAUUUCUCCAUGCCUUAUUGAGGUAUUUUUAAUGUUUAGAGAUGCCUUGAAGAGCGUGAAAUUAAAUUGCACAAACUACGACAAAAUAUAAAUGCGAAUCAAGCCGCAUCCACUCCAGUUAGGAAGACACAAUUGGCAUAUGUUGACUCUGUAGCAAAACCACCUCGCGGUGUAGCUAGGCGACAGGUAUAUUGAAUUUAAACUAUUUAUACAAUAUUGUAUCUUUUCAUCGGUGUAUAUUUUAUUAAUAGGCGAAAUACCACACUCCUUCUGACACUAAACGUAAUAUUUUAAACAAAUCAAUGAUGGGAGGAAAUUCUACUGCAGAAGCUUUAUCUGCUAACAAUAGGUCUACUGUCAUGGCAACCGGCAUACCUGUCGCUUUGAAUUCUAAUCAUAGUGCAUCGUCUUCUGCUGCACGUACGUAAAUCUGUAUCAUAUCAAUUUUUUGAAUAUGGAAAUUUUUUGUGUGAAAAUAUUGAGUUUCCGACUCAAAAUAACAACUUUUCAUUUAUUACUUGUAAUCAAAUUUAUUUUCUCUAACAUUUUUUUAAUGAUUGACUGACAAGGCAAGUUAACAUUGUUGAUAUUUCUAUCAAAAGUGUGAUUUUUUCCAUUGAUUUCAUUGUGCAUAAUAUUUGAAUAUUUUUUCAAUUAAAAAAAUUGAACGGUUCUUAACUAUAUUAAGAGAAAACUUAUUUUUAAUAGUCACAUGUUUGUAAUUCACAUAAGAAAUCUUUUAAUUUAUAUUUAUUUCAGAUUAACUUAUAUCAUUAUAUUUUCACACAAACUAUUAUAGUAUUUGAAAAAAUGGCCGUGAACUUUGUAAACUAAAUAUUUGUAAUAUUAUUUUUGAAAUGUGCUUUUUUUUGGUUGAAGAGGAGACAUCUCUUUGUCCACACUUAUUAUAAUAUUAAUUAAAAAGAAGUUUUUCCGUAAAACACAUUUAAUGUGUGUAUUAGUAAACUUUAAAAACUGUACUUUAUUUUUUAAGAUUAUUAACCAUUCCAAGAACUAUUAGAAACGAAUUAUUUUCCUAUUAACUAAAGAUUUGGCACUUAAGAGGACGUUAUACCCACAUCUACUAUUUCAGUUCAGCUACCAGGUACUAAGCAGUAAACAAUGCUUAUGCAGAGUAAGUAAAACUAGCUCAAUUUUGACUUUAGAUCUAUUAUAAAAUGUAUAGAGAACAAUAUUUCGGAGGGAAUGUAUUAGGUGCUUUAGAAUUGUUUUAAAAAAUAACAGUUAUUCAAGAAACAAAAAAAAAGUUCUGUAUAUUUUGAAUAAUACAAUAACUCUAAAUGAUAUUCCCUCCAAAAUAUUAUUCUCUUUAAAUUUUAUAAUAGAUACUUUUACUCUAAAAUUGAAACUAAGCAAGUUUUACUUAUACUGCGUAAGCAUGGUUUUUGCGUGUUACCCGGUAGUUGUACUGAGACAGUAGAUAUGGGUAUAACAUCCUCUUAAUUAAUUUUCUAUAUUUACAUUCUCAAUUCUAAUUUUGAAUGAAAUUCUGGCUUUAAAAACUGUUUAAAUUAUUCAUAACAUUAAUAUUAAAAUUUUCAAUAUUUUAAUUUAAAAAAUACCAAUAUGUUAAUUUUUUUUUUUGAAUUUACAUCCCUAACUAUUAUCAUUAACUGUAAUCAUUCAUUUAUUAUAGGCGGUUAUUAUAGACUUUUUUUAUAUAAUUUUUUUAUAACAUAGUAUGAUAAAUUAUUGUUUAUUGUGUAUUUAUAAUUUUAGUGAAGAAGAAAAAAGCACCUUUAAUGCAAAAAGCAUUACAACUCAUUAAGUCUACACGCAGGCGUUAAAUCAUCAUCAUUCUACACUUUAAUUUCAUGUGUCCAUGUGUGUUUGUGUGUGUGUGUGUGUGUGUGUUUUGUAUAAUAAUAAUACAAAUCUAGGUAUUUGAUGUUUUUUUUUAUUUUUAAAACUUAUUUUACCCUUAAGGUUCUAGGAAUUGAAGUUAAUAUAAAACUAAAUUUGUAUAUGUCUGUGAUUAACUGAAUUUUGAAUUGUAUAUUUUUUGUUUCUUAAAUAGCAGUAAGAUUACUUAAUAUGUGAACACAUUUUAGUUAUAAAUUAUAAUAUUAUAAACAAGGUUGGAAAUUAUUCUAAUUAAUUACCUAUUUUAAUAUGAAUUGUAUUUUAAUUUUUAGCUAUAUAGGGUCAUCCAAAUUUACUAUGAAUACUUAUUUCAGAAAAAGUAAUUUAAAAACUUAAAAAUAUUACAUUGACCUUAUUUUUGAAGGUUGAAAACAAAACUAAUUUUUAAUUUUCAAUAUUUAUUGAAAUUCCAUAAAUAAAUGAAAUUUGAGUUUAAAUAAAUUUUUAAUUUCAAUCAAUGAAUUUGUAAGACCCUGUAUGUGUACUCAGUUACUUAUAGGAUGAUCCAUUUAUCACCCUCCACUUAUUUUCUUUGAGGAUUUUAAAUAAAUUUGAUUUUUGUUUUCCUUCAACCAUUAUGGAACUGUUUAAGAUUCAUCAGAUACUUUUUAUUGAAAUUAAUGACUGUGUUCUUAUGUCACACUUGUUUACUUCUCCUAUAGAUACUGCCGCAGACUGUUGUCUGUUAGUUUCACUCACAGUGAUAGCCGAGACACCGUGGCAUCUAUCACUACAGUUGUUCUCAAACUCCUAAGUGCACCACACCAAUCAACCCAUCUCACUGUUUAAUAACUACAACAAGCGUGUAAUGCAUGUAUGUUAAUAUAGUAAAUCCAAGUUUAGAAGUUUUUAGUUAUAAAAAUAAAUGUUUAGUAAACAAUGCUUUUUAUUGACUGGUCCUAAAAUGCAGAUAAUAAAAAUUAAUCUUUCAAAUUUGAUAUAAAAAAGUAUAAUUUUCAAUUUAAUUAUUGAUAUGCAUAACACUUAUAUCAUAUUUACUGUUUAUGAGUUAUUAAGUUUAUAACUGUUUAAAAUGUAGACGAAAAGAAAAAGAAUGGGUUGUCAUCUAAAUGUAUCUAAAUCUAUUAAUUUAAUUUAUCAUUUAAAAAAUGGAUAUGAAGUUUAUUUCAUUUUCCAACUCUGUCUAAACUUUAAACUACCAUAACUUAACAAUUGUAAAUCAGUAUGCAAAAAAAAAAAACAAUUUGUUUUGUUUCAAACGUGUUUUUUUUGUUAAACCACAUUUAAAAAUACUAAAAAUAUGAUUUUUUUUUUUUUUGUUUAUAAAAUAAUAGUUGAUUAUAAAUAGAAUUUUAUUAUAAUUAUAUAAAAAUAACAAUUAAAAAAAUGUUAAUUCUUUAUCUAAAAGAAAUAGGAACCAUGUAUUACAUAACAUUUUAUACAUUAUGUGUAAAACGAUUCAAAUAGCGAUUUGUUUAAAACACUUUGCAAUACUGUUGUAAAUCCAAUAUUAGUUUUAUGGAUAUCAAUAUAUAUGCAUUGUCCACCUGAAUUUGUGUUUAGAGAAGAGUAGUUUCUAUUUGAAAAUCAAAAGUGUAUAAACAUUUAGGAAAAUCAAUGUUAAAAAAAUCAAAUUCAUUUAAAAUCCUCUAUAUAAAAUAGUAUUAUCAUUACUUUCUUGUUAUUGUAAUUUUUUCUUUUUUUAAGUAUACAGUAAUAAUUAAGAAACAGUAUCUAUGUAUUUUAAACUUAAAUACAUUUAUUUAAAUUCAAUAUAUCUAUCACCUUGUUUUCAAUGGACAUUCAGUAAACAAUGAUUUUACUUACUUUGUAUUCACUGAAAUAAAUGGUGAAUUAUAAUUAUACUUGUCAAAAAUUGUACCUUUUUAUUUGUUUUAAGGGAAUAGAAAGUAGACAUGCAGUAUGUUUAAUUUUAAAAUAUUUGAUGGUUUGAUUUUAAUAUUUUUUAAAAGCUAUAGAUCUAAUAAUUAUAUUAUUUAGUUAGUUACCUAUAGUUUUCACUCAAAAACUUUGUUGAAACAAAUAUCAUACCUACCAAAAAUCAUAAGUUAACUCUUAACUGUCCUAGCGCCAAGAUGACUUCAAUGUUCCUUAGUUCACUUUAAAUUACUCUUAAAAACUUACAAUUGAAAUUUUACAUAUAAUAUAACCUAACCUAUCAUAUUAUUAAGUAAGAAAAAAAAUUAUAAAAAAAACAUUCAUGUUUAAUAUUGUACACAUUUUUUUCUGCGAAAUUUCCCUAGAAAAAAAUCUGUUAUACUGUAUUAUGACUAUUAUAUUAUAUAUGUGCAGAUUUUGCAAUUUAAAUUUUGUUUUUUUAGAUGGUUGUUAUACUUGAUAGUAUACAUUUAAUGGUCUCGGAAUUUAUUUGUAUAGUUAGACAUACACAUACACAAUGUCCCUAAAUUUAGACCACUUUUCUAAGUUCAAUACGGUUCAAUAUUAGCUGAGAUACAGUAAUUUAUAGUUAUACAACAUUCAAUUUAUUUGAUAUGUAUAUUUCAUAUAUUUCACAAUCCUUACGUAGGAAUGUAUAUAACUUAGGUUUCAUUAUUUUCUACCAUUUAUCCUAUUUUUUUGGGUAUUUUAAGGUUAUUAUUAUUAAGAUAAAUUUUACUUAAUAUCAUCAUGUACUUAUAAAAAUUAGUUGUAGUUUAAUAAGUUUUAUUUUUAUUUAUUAAAUGACCGCGUUUAGUAUGCAGUUAGAUGUCUUUUUAAUUUAUUAGGUACCACACACUCAAUGCUGAGAUAUUCUCCAUAUAACAAGCACUGAGGACUUUCAGUUUCAAAAUAAGUAAAACCAAAAUUUAAAUAAUUAUCUUAGUACUUACUUAUGACCAGCACUGUUUAGAAGAUUUUGGACCUGAUUUGAUACCCUCAGUAAUUGUUUUAUCUCGUUUUCAAAAAACUUAUCCAUAUUUUAAUUUUUAGACUAAAAGAAUGAAUAUGUACAGCCUGACAGUUUUGAACGUUAAUGUUUCAUACAGAUACAUUAUAAUUAGAGCGCGGAUUUAUAUGCAUUUGUAUAUUUAUUCUGGUUGAUCGUAUGACAUGCUAAGUGAGCAUAUAUUGUGUUUUAUGACAACAAUUUAAAAAAUGAAACUUUUAGUGCAUAUUUUUGCAUAUUUCUACAGUUACGCAUUUUUUUUUUUUCAAGGGCUUAUUUUACAGUUUUAAUUGCAUAUUUCAUCUUUGAAUGCAUAUUUCGAUAUUCUUUUAUUUUUUUUUUAUACAUUUUUGAAAUAUAUACUAUUGUAAUGCAAGAAAAAUAAAAUUAUAUUUGUAUAGUUUUAAUAUAAAAAUAAAUUAAUAGGUAUACUUGUAGAUAUAAACGGUUUUGACAAAUAUAACCUUAAAUCAAUAUUUGUUGGAAUAAAAUUCGUAUACCAAGAUAAGAAAAUAUCGAUGACGACCAUUGACUAUUGACAUUACUAAUUCAGUUGCGUUAAAAUAUUUACCGUGCGUUCGUGUGUGCUUUCCGUUGUAACUCCCGUUUUUAUUACUUUAUUUUCAUCAAAAAUGCCAGAAGAUAAAUCGUCGUUAUCGAGAAUAUUAUACAUAAAAACUACCUUCAAAAUAAUGAAAGUGAAGAAAAAAAUGAAGUAUUUAUAGUAGGG